UUAACAAAAUACUUAUGGAAAAUAAAAAUAUUUCUUAAAAAUAUAUAUGUAUACACAAAUUUACUAACUCUAACUCAAAGUCUUUAAAAGUCUUGUGUUGUGUCUUCAUCUUUGUGAGUGUCCCACAACUGGCCUUAAAAGAUUUGCAAGUCUUUUUAUAGUGAUCUUUUAAAAAAAAAAAAUUAUAGGGAAAUACUCCAAAAUGGGAAAUGCUCACAUAUAAAUACUAAAAACCCUUAACUCAUUUCAUCAUUUUUGUCAUUUGGAAGAGAGGAUGUCGAAAGAGCUUUGUGAGCUUACCGUUUCUAGGUUGAGCUCAAAUCUCUGAGCUUCGAUUUCCAAGAGAGAGAAGUCGAGAGUGAAACUUCAAAGUGGGGGUUUCUCAUUUGCAUCAGUGUUUCAUCCUUAAAGAUAUGAUUUUUGUACCAAAUUUGUCGUUUUGGUUGGAAAGUUCCAUUCUUUCCGGCUAGUGAAGCUUCGGCAGCCAUAUUUCCAUUGCCAUCAGGUUUUUUUGGAUUUGUAGAGAUGAGAAGUCAAACAAAAGAGGGAUGGGGAAGAGAGGGCUCGAAAUGUGUUCUGGAAAUCUUUAUUUGUUUAUGGGUUUUGUUAUUUUAGACUUCUGGAUUUCAAUUUUAAGAAUUUUGCUUUUUAA